rnacentral:lncRNA from 1 species
GGGAGGGGGAACUGUGGGGCGUUCGCCAUCUUGUCUCCCUCUCCUUACCUGCGUCCUCGGGGGCGUGCGCACCACCCCCCCUCCCGCCUAGGAGGGGGGAGGGCCCCCUCUUGGCCACCGCCUUCGCGGCCUUUAAACUCCCCUGGAGACUGCGGCUACUGCCACCGCCUUGCCUCCACUGCCUCUUCGCGCAGCACACAGAUGCGGACGGUGGGUGGGAAAAAGGGCAGACGCUACUCCCAGCGAACCGCCGCUGCCGCUCCCGAGGCCUCACCAAAAUGGCCGCCGCCGUCUCGGCCGCCACCACCACCACUACCACCACCACUCGCUCGGAAUCGCUAUCGCCGGCGCGGCCCGUCUUCUCGCGAGAGACAAUCACCCAGUAAGCUGCAGCAAGUUAGCAGUGGAACCUGGGCCUCCCGAUUCCCAUGGCAGCCCACUUCUGUAGCGCUGCUUCGUUUUACGCGAGGAUGGUUUCCUGAUAGCUUUCAAACACCUUUGCCAUCUCUUCGCAAACUUUCUAGAUUAAGAAUCCCUUUGAGAAUCUGAUACCUUUACCCCAGAAUAGAACAAUAAAUAACAGCUACCUUCUACUGACAC